rnacentral:rRNA from 1 species
GACGAACGCUGGCGGCGUGCUUAACACAUGCAAGUCGAACGGAAAGGCCCUGCUUUUGUGGGGCGCUCGAGUGGCGAACGGGUGAGUAACACGUGAGUAACCUGCCCUUGACUUUGGGAUAACUUCAGGAAACUGGGGCUAAUACCGGAUAGGAGCUCCUGCUGCAUGGUGGGGGUUGGAAAGUUUCGGCGGUUGGGGAUGGACUCGCGGCUUAUCAGCUUGUUGGUGGGGUAGUGGCUUACCAAGGCUUUGACGGGUAGCCGGCCUGAGAGGGUGACCGGCCACAUUGGGACUGAGAUACGGCCCAGACUCCUACGGGAGGCAGCAGUGGGGAAUAUUGCACAAUGGGCGGAAGCCUGAUGCAGCAACGCCGCGUGCGGGAUGACGGCCUUCGGGUUGUAAGCCGCUUUCGCCUGUGACGAAGCGUGAGUGACGGUAAUGGGUAAAGAAGCACCGGCUAACUACGUG